AAGAAGUAGAAUGAGGGAGUGAACUCCUGGAAUCCACUCUGAAGCUCAGCCUCUCCUGGAUAAAAUCUGGAUUCCCUGGUCUGUAGGAGAAGUGAGAAGGCAUUUAUAAAAUUGGAAAUCAGUGUGGCAGUUCCUCAGGAAGCUGGGAAUAGAUCUACCUCAAGAUGCAACUUGGAGAUACAACCAAAGGAUGCUUCAUCAUACCACAGAGACACUUGCUCAACCAUAUUCAUUGCUGCUCUAUCCAUAGUAGCCAGGAAUUAGAAACAACCUAGAUGUCCAUCAACAGAUGGAUGGAUAAAGAAAAUGUGGUACAUUCACACAA